UGUUAACAGGUGCUCUGACUUCAUUGCACUACUGUAUUGGACAGCUAGCAGUGCAAUAGUAUUGUCAAAGCGUCUGAGAGCAGC
rnacentral:pre_miRNA from 8 species